GAUGAACGCUGGCGGCGUGCUUAACACAUGCAAGUCGAGCGAGAAGUUUUGAAAAGAUUCUUCGGAUGAAAUUUAAAAUGGAAAGCGGCGGACGGGUGAGUAACGCGUAGGCAACCUGCCCCAUACAAAGGGAUAGCAUUUGGAAACGAAUAUUAAUACCUUAUGAAACUUAACUAGUGCAUGCUAGGUAGGUCAAAGAUUUAUCGGUAUGGGAUGGGCCUGCGUCUGAUUAGCUAGUUGGUGAGGUAACGGCUCACCAAGGCGACGAUCAGUAGCCGACCUGAGAGGGUGAACGGCCACAUUGGGACUGAGACACGGUCCAAACUCCUACGGGAGGCAGCAGUGGGGAAUAUUGCACAAUGGGGGAAACCCUGAUGCAGCAACGCCGCGUGAACGAUGAAGGCCUUUGGGUCGUAAAGUUCUGUUCUAGGUGAUGAAAACUGACAGUAACCUAGGAGAAAGCCCCGGCUAACUCCGUG
rnacentral:rRNA from 1 species